UGGGGUGUAGCCUAGUGAUGGGCACUUGCCUAGCAUGCAUGACACUCUGGGUUCCACCCCUAGCACUGCAA
rnacentral:tRNA from 1 species